GCGCCCUUUGGUAUUCCAGAGGGCAUGCCUGUUUGAGUAUCAUGAACACCUCAACUCUCACGGUCCGCCGUGAUGAGCUUGGACUUUGGGGGUCUUGCUGGCCUGCGGUCGGCUCCUCUCAAAUGAAUCAGCUUGCCAGUGUUUGGUGGCAUCACGGGUGUGAUAACUAUCUACGCUUGUGGUUUUCCACCAGGUAACCUUCAGCAAUGGAGGUUCGCUGGGGCUCACAAAUGUCUCUCCUCGGUGAGGACAACUUCUUGAAUGUUUGAUCUCAAAUCAGGUAGGGCUACCCGCUGAACUUAAGCAUAUCA
rnacentral:rRNA from 1 species